AUGUGGACAGGUCUUCUCCACCAUGUUCAAGGAGAGCAUGAGUGGGCCCUAUGUUGCUGUGAACAUGGCCCCUUGUCCGCCGACAGGGAGAAGGAGUGGAUCCAGAGUGAUUCUGAGGCCUUUCAGUUACUAUCAGAAAUAGUGCUGGAUGAGCACUGGCUGAAGAAUGUGGAGAAGUUCCUGAGUUUCAGGUCAACCGCUGAGCUCGAAUCCUUCCAUAAUCAUAUACUGAUGUAUGCCAGCAAAGCGAUUCAGCUUUAGCCCACCUGUUUACAAAGCACGCACCCUCUUAGCAGCGUGGGACUAUAACCAUCAUGUUCACAGACCGGUGAAGAGGAAGGCUGAUGGCUCAAUAGAGUACGUUUUCAAUAAUUUUCAUAUAUAUCUAUUUCAGAUUUACAAUAUUCUAAGCUGCAUGACUGAUGUGGAUACAUUGAGACAUUAUUUCAUCCUGUGUCAGGUACUGCAAGCUCUACAAUAAAAAGUCAAAGACUUGGAGACACUGUCUAUACACAGUGAAGGUGGAGAAGGACUACGGAUACAUGGCAGACCUGCAGAGUGCUAUCCUAGAAGCCGGCUGACAUCAGACAAGGGUUUGCCAAAGACCAGAAAAAAAUGCCUAAUGACCCACGGCAAUAUGGGGUUCUUGCAAGCAUCCCACCUCCCACCACCCAGGACCUGUUGCAAACCCAAUUCCACAGAGGAGUAGGUAUGGAAUGAAACCUGUUUGACACAUUAUCUACACAUGAUACAGUACAUAUCCCAAGUAAAGGGAAAUUAAACACUUGGGAAAAGUAGUGACUUUAUUCUUUCAACAGGGCAAGGAAUGCAGUAAGAGACCAUAGAAGAGAUUGGAGGUCCCAUACCAACUAAACUGAAGCUGACUGUAGGCUGCUGGGGGCUGUUUGGAACAGUAUUACGCUGCUCACUUUUUGGUUUUUGAUAUUUGUAAAUAUUCGAUUUAUUAGGUCUAAAUGUCCUUCACAGUUUUGUAUUAUUUACACUUGUUUCUUAUAAAAUAUAUAAAAAAAAAAUAGGAUUUUGUAUAUAGUUUUCUAUGAUCAAUUUGUUUAUAAUUGACAUAUUUUCAAUGCAGUUGCACGAUUGUUCUGCUAAAAAGGCAUUUUGUUAUGUAGUGCUUUUAUACUUGUGCAAAAAGCAAUGCAGUUGCACUUGUGCUGCACUUAGUCAUCGAAGGCCAGGGUGUUCCUGUGUGUGUGAGUUAUUAACUUAUUGUUUUAUUAUUUAAUAAAAAAGUUUACCGCACCUGCCUCAUCCUUUAUCCAGCAUUACACCUGCUGAAUGUGCAUUGUUAUCAUGAUAUGCUAUAGUUAUUUUGAUGUCUGCUGUAAACGACAAUGA
rnacentral:lncRNA from 1 species